UGAUGAAGUGAUGAUGUGAUGAUGUGAUGAUGUGUGCAUGAUGAUGUGAGUAUGAUGAUGUGAUGAUGUGAUGAUGUGAUGAUGUGAUGAUGUGAGUAUGAUGAUGUGAUGAUGUGAUGAUGUGAUGAUGUGAUGAUGUGAGUAUGAUGAUGUGAUGAUGUGAUGAUGUGAGUAUGAUGAUGUGAUGAUGUGAUUAUGAUGAUGUGAUGAUGUGAGUAUGAUGAUGUGAUGAUGUGAUGUCAGUGAGUAUGAUGAUAUGAUGAUGUGAUGAUGUGAUGAUGUGAGUAUGAUGAUGUGAUGAUGUGAGUAUGAUGAUGUGAUGAUGUGAUGAUGUGAGUAUGAUGAUGUGAUGAUGUGAUGAUGUGAUGAUGUGAUGAUGUGAUGAUGUGAGUAUGAUGAUGUGAUGAUGUGAGUAUGAUGAUGUGAUGAUGUGAUGAUGUGAUGAUGUGAGUAUGAUGAUGUGAUGAUGUGAGUAUGAUGAUGUGAUGAUGUGAUGAUGUGAGUAUGAUGAUGUGAUGAUGUGAUGUCAGUGAGUAUGAUGAUGUGAUGAUGUGAUGAUGUGAGUAUAAUGAUGUGAUGAUGUGAUGUGAUGAUGUGAUGAUGUGAGUAUGAUGAUGUGAGUAUGAUGAUGUGAUGAUGAUGAUGUGAUGAUGUGAUGAUGUGAGUAUGAUGAUGUGAUGAUGUGAUGAUGUGAUGAUGUGAGUAUGAUGAUGUGAUGAUGUGAGUAUGAUGAUGUGAUGAUGUGAUGAUGUGAGUAUGAUGAUGUGAUGAUGUGAUGAUGAUGAUGUGAGUAUGAUGAUGUGAUGAUGUGAGUAUGAUGAUGUGAUGAUGUGAUGAUGUGAGUAUGAUGAUGUGAUGAUGUGAUGAUGUGAUGAUGUGAUGAUGUGAGUAUGAUGAUGUGAUGAUGUGAGUAUGAUGAUGUGAUGAUGUGAGUAUGAUGAUGUGAUGAUGUGAGUAUGAUGAUGUAGUCGGAUGUGAGUAUGAUGGACAGAAAGGGACAGUGUGGCAGAGAGAGUGGUGGAGAACUGGAGAGUGAGAUGGAGACACAUAGAGAGGGAGAGAGAGAGUGAUGGAUACAUGGAGAGAUACAGAGAGAGUGAUGGAUAGACAGAGAGAGAGGGAUAGAGGGAGAGAGAGAGAGAGAGAGAGUGAUGUAUAGACAGAGAGAGAGGGAGAGAGGAGAGAGAGAGGGAGAGAGAGAGUGAUGUAUAGACAGAGAGAGAGGGAGAGAGGGAGAGAGAGAGAGGGAGAGAGAGAGUGAUGUAUAGACAGACACACAGAGGUAGAGAGAGAGGGAUACAUGGAGAGAGAGAGAGGUAGAGAGAAGGAUAAAUGGAGAGAGAGAGAGAGUGAUGAUAAAUGGAGAGA
ensembl:lncRNA